GAUGAAGAACGUAGCGAAAUGCGAUAAGUAAUGUGAAUUGCAGAAUUCAGUGAAUCAUCGAGUCUUUGAACGCACAUUGCGCCCCCUGGUAUUCCGGGGGGCAUGCCAGUCCGAGCGUCAUUGCUGCCCUCAAGCACGGCUUGUGUGUUGGGCCCCCGUCCCCGGUUUCCCCCGGGGACGGGCCCGAAAGGCAGCGGCGGCACCGCGUCCGGUCCUCGAGCGUAUGGGGCUUUGUCACCCGCUCUGUAGGCCCGGCCGGCGCCAGCCGACACCCAACUUUAUUUCUAAGGUUGACCUCGGAUCAGGUAGGGAUACCCGCUGAACUUAAGCAUAUCAAUAAGCGGAGGA
rnacentral:misc_RNA from 1 species